rfam:Schistosoma margrebowiei strain Zambia genome assembly, scaffold: SMRZ_scaffold0001165
AUUCAGCUGACGGGUUCUAAAUAAGACGAAAUGUGCAUCCUGGAU